GAAGUGCCUUUUUCUUGAUCCAGCUUUCACUUGGUUGCUGUAAACUUUUGACUGUUUUCCAGAGUUCUCAUAAAAUGUGUUCUGACAGUUUCUGCUUGUUUUUUAAUGUUUCUGUGGAAGGGGAGGAGACCUCCAUGUCCUAGGAAGGGCUGGCUGUGCUCUAGAAUACCCGCUGUCUCACCACCUCUGCGAUGUCCAUCCAGCGGUGACCCUCCGCCUGUCCCAAGAGGUCUCAACGGUUUCAUCCAGGAGAGAGAGAGUACAAGUGGAGGAGGGGCAGAGAGAGAGG